GACGAACGCUGGCGGCGUGCUUAACACAUGCAAGUCGAACGAAGUGGCGAACGGGUGAGUAACGCGUCAUCAACCUGCCCUUCAGAGGGGGACAACAGUUGGAAACGACUGCUAAUACCGCAUACGGAAGGAGGGGAUUGCGUCGGAUUAGCUAGUUGGAGGGGUAACGGCCCACCAAGGCGAUGAUCAGUAGCCGGUCUGAGAGGAUGACCGGCAACAUUGGGACGGAGACACGGCCCAGACUCCUACGGGAGGCAGCAGUGGGGAAUCUUCCGCAAUGGACGAAAGUCUGACGGAGCAACGCCGCGUGAGUGAUGACGGCCUUCGGGUUGUAAAGCUCUGUUAUUCGGGACGCGGUACCGGAGUAGAAAGCCACGCCUAACUACGUGCCAGCAGCGGCGGUAUAC
rnacentral:rRNA from 1 species